rnacentral:rRNA from 1 species
ACAGAGGGUGCAAGCGUUAAUCGGAAUUACUGGGCGUAAAGCGAGCGUAGGUGGCUUGAUAAGUCAGAUGUGAAAUCCCCGGGCUUAACCUGGGAACUGCAUCUGAAACUGUUAGGCUAGAGUAGGUGAGAGGAAGGUAGAAUUCCAGGUGUAGCGGUGAAAUGCGUAGAGAUCUGGAGGAAUACCGAUGGCGAAGGCAGCCUUCUGGCAUCAUACUGACACUGAGGCUCGAAAGCGUGGGUAGCAAACAGG